GGAAGUAAACGUCGUAACAAGGUUUCCGUAGGUGAACCUGCGGAAGGAUCAUUAUUGUAUAGCCGAGGUGCGAGGGCUGUCGCUGACCCGAAAGGUCGUGCACGCCCGAGUGCCCUCACACACAUCCAUCUCACCCCUAUGUGCACCACCGCGUGGGUCCCCCUUUGGCUUGUUCGGAGGGGGGCUUACGUUUUCACACAAACUUUGUAUGCAGUGUAGAAUGUAUUUUUUGUUUUUGCGAUCACGCAAUCAAUACAACUUUCAACAACGGAUCUCUUGGCUCUC
rnacentral:misc_RNA from 1 species